UACAGGGGGUGCAAACGUUGCUCGGAAUCACUGGGCGUAAAGGGUGCGUAGGCGGGUCUUUAAGUCAGGGGUGAAAUCCUGGAGCUCAACUCCAGAACUGCCUUUGAUACUGAAGAUCUUGAGUUCGGGAGAGGUGAGUGGAACUGCGAGUGUAGAGGUGAAAUUCGUAGAUAUUCGCAAGAACACCAGUGGCGAAGGCGGCUCACUGGCCCGAUACUGACGCUGAGGCACGAAAGCGUGGGGAGCAAACAGG
rnacentral:rRNA from 1 species